CAGUCGCCGCGGUAAUACGUAGGUGGCAAGCGUUAUCCGGAAUUAUUGGGCGUAAAGCGCGCGUAGGCGGUUUUUUAAGUCUGAUGUGAAAGCCCACGGCUCAACCGUGGAGGGUCAUUGGAAACUGGAAAACUUGAGUGCAGAAGAGGAAAGUGGAAUUCCAUGUGUAGCGGUGAAAUGCGCAGAGAUAUGGAGGAACACCAGUGGCGAAGGCGGCUUUCUGGUCUGCAACUGACGCUGAUGUGCGAAAGCGUGGGGAUCAAACAGGAUUAGAUACCCGCGUAGUCCCUGUCUCUUAUAC
rnacentral:rRNA from 1 species